rfam:Dipodomys ordii contig_68146, whole genome shotgun sequence.
GGGAAUGUGGCUUAGUGGUAGAGUGCUUGCCUAGCAUGCAUGAGGACCUUGGUUCAAUUCAUCAGUCCCA